ACAUAUAGCCCUUUUUUUAAUAAUCAUUUCUUUGUUUUCAAUUUCUUUGUUAACAACCAAAUGCAUCGAUGAUUUUUUUGGUUGACUAAUAUCCUUCGCAAAUUUUGUCAUCUGGAUUUCUUUACGUUUUGUUUGUAAUGCAUAUUGCAUCGAUGUUAGUUUAGUUUUUGUAAUAUUGGCCUAAUUUAUUUUGUUUACGUAUGUGGAAUGGGCAUUGUAAGUUGGUCGCAAAUGACUUAUUCCUUGAUAUAAAAAAUGGAAAUCUAGACCUAUGUGUUAUGUUCCUACAAUCUGGCCCUGGAAUAACUGCGGGACUCCAGCAAGUAAAUCAAGAAAGAAAAUUGAUCGAAACUCCAAAGAUGAUGGAGAUGGUGAUGAAUGAAGAAAGCACGACAUAGGUUCCUCAAAAGACACAAAUCAUUUUUGUGCUGCUCCCAAGGCUUAUCCAGUUAGCUCUGAACUUCGACGAGUUCCAACUGACAUAGAGCAAACUUUAGGCCUUGGAGCCAAGGGCUGUAUGAAGUUUCCCAUGCUCCUCACCUUUUUUACAAGCAUUUGAGGCUCAAGCAUCAGCUUGUAUUGGAAGUUACAUCAAAACUACUGUAUUAAUUCCCAAAAUUACAUGAAGUAUGUGCAUGCUAUCUUCUAUAUGAAGUUAUAGAAUGGUACCAUCAAACUGUUUUAAGGAGGCAAUAUGGACCUACAUGUUAACUUAUGAACAUUGAACCUAAUGCACUAGGUGGAACUCCAUUUGCUUGUUUUAACAAAACUAUUAAAUAUCAUUACUCCGCAAGUGCUCGUUUUUACUUAUCAUGUGUGUUGUACAUAAUCAUUGUACCUCUGAUAAGUUAUGGUUUCUGCCGUUAUAGUUGAUUUUCUUACUUUUGUUUUCUCUUCGAGGUCAUGACUCUAGCAUGCACAUUAGCCUGCAUUAAAGCUUUAUUUCUGUUGAACAUUUAUAAGUUGUAUGUCUCUUUGUUUCUGUUACUAGUUAUACUUUUUUUUUGAGGAAUGUUACUAGUUAUACUUGAGCUUAUGCCACACACUUGUAUUUUUUUCCUGCAACGCAAGUGGACCAUAUUUUUUGCAUGUGUCUACUUGAGCUUAUGCACGAUUUAUGAUUCAGAUUUCCACUACUUUUGGCUUGUUUUGCUUUUGAGCUUUCAUUUUGAUUUUGUAAACGGGAGAGUGUUAUCUUGCUGCUGAAUUAUUCACCCAGGGCACCUACAUUUGUAGUCACAUUUUACUAAUUAAGAGAAGUUAGUUAUGGUUGUUGUAUCUUAACCUAGUUUGACCUCUAUUUUCUUGUUGGUUUCCAGGGAUUUGGCUUGUCAAAGCUGAUGCCUUCAUUUUCUCCCAACUGAGCUUCUCGUGCACCGACGUAUUCUGGUAGCAACUGGCAAGGAUAUUUUUUUUCUCGAACACAUGCCAAAGCAUGUGUCAUUAUAUAUUAUAAGAUGCCGUCAAGAAGACGGAAGCAAACCAGAUGUACAACAAGGCAAGGGCCAAGAGAAGAAAAGAAGAAAAGAAAAUAAAAGAAGAAAAGAUGUACAACUGGCGAGGAUAUGAAAUAACACUAGCCUCUGCUAGAACUUCUCUCUUGUAGGCAACACAUGCAGUGUCAAGAUAUUCACACCCAAGGCCCACUGCGAAGACCUUGCCGCCACCAUUCUGGACCACAUCGACAUCAACAUCCAGAUGUACCCUCCAUGGCUUAUGAGAAAUGCUUCCAGAAGCUGUGCUACAUCGGCCGAUGAGAAGUGGGAUCUGCAUCGCUGGCAGGACCAUUGAAACUGUGAUGCAUCUAGUUGUGUUCAGUAAUGCCAAGUCAAAGAUUAUUGGUUCAAUGUGCUCCACUAGCAUGAAGGAAGGCAUAAUUAAGUGGUCUGGUAUGAAGUCAACACCGGCAUGUUCUGCUACCAGAUGUAUUUUGUUGCAUACGGAAUUCUUUUUUAUCCUAGAUUUGACAUGGUUAAAAUGUCAUUAAGUAGAGGUAGAACAUGAUGUCAACUACUCAUUGGCUUCUCCCACUUAUCGGUGGUUCGGUCCGGCAUGGCCUGGCUGUUCGGUCUCAGGUGGUGCUACUAUGGUGGUGGUGAUGUUAUGCCUUGUCUACAACCUC